CCAGGAGGGAGGGAGAGCCGGGCGGGGUCGGCGUCUCGGGACCGACGGGAACGGGGCGCCAGGCCGGGCGGGAACGGGGGUGCCCGGGCCGCAGGCGUCGAGUGGGCCUCGAGCCCGCCAGCCCGCUCCGCAGUGGCGCUCGCCGCCUCGGUGCCCGUGCGGGCCCAGCCUGGGACGCUCUGUAGGAGCUGGGAUGGACCUCCUGCUAGGCAGUGCUGCUGGCUUUGAGCUACCUUGUGAGAGGAAUGGGUGCUGCCCCGACCCUGCCUGGGGUGCCCUUCCUCGCCGCUGUAUCCCAGCAACGCAGAGUUUGGCUGCAGUGCCAGCAUCUGCAGGACAGGAGAGGGGUGGUUGGCCAGAUCACCUGAGCGCACAGGUUCACGAUUUCCCGAGCACCUGUCAGGACCCAUCGGACCCCAAAAUCCUGUGACUGACUUUAUGGAAUUUGUUUUCCCUCUUUAUUUUGCUGUUUGUAUGAAACGAACUCUUUAGUCUCUGUGAGAAAGAGAGAGGUGCGCUUACUCGGCGGUUUCAAACCUGAAGCCUUGCUGAGGGACCUGUGACCCUUCACGGUUCAGUAGUUGUAAACGCGAGUACCCGAGUUGCUGAAACAAGUUCUGUCGUGUCAGAAUGGCGUAAUUAGGAGAGUUCACAGGGCUUGGUAAAUAGCAGGAGUUAUCCAACACUGCCAAAAAAUUUAAACCCUUAUAAUGUUUAUGCUUUAAAAAAAGUGGGGGGGUGUCAACCAUGUAGAACAUACUGUCCCCAAACUCACAGGUUCUCGCUGCCUCUGCUUCCUAAAUGCUGGUUGGGAUAAAGCUGUGGGACAUUGGGUUGGGCCUCUUCAUGAUUUUAAAACUCCCCUCUGGCUGGCAUAGUGGUUUACACCUUUAACCCAACGCUAGAGAGGCAGGGGGAUCUCUUCAACAUGCCAUUCUGGUCUACAUAAUGAGUUCUAAGACAGCCGGGACUGGAGACCCUGUUGCAAAAAUAAAAUAAAUAAACAAAGAAUGAAUGAGUAAAACUAAUCAAUGGUGGCUCACACUUGUUAGACCUUGGGGGCUGGGGCAGGGAGAUUUUAAGUUUGGGUCAGCCUGAGUUAGGUAAUGAAAUCCUUCUGUAAAAAAAAAAAAAAGAAAAGAAAAGGAAAGGAAAGUGGACGGUGGCUUAUGCUUGUAAUCCAAGCACUUAGCAGGCUGAUGUGGGAGAAUUUCUGUGAAUUGGAGGCUAACCUGGGCUACAGAGUGAGACACUGUUUCAAACAAAAUCAAAGUGGAGAGGAUAGAUCUGUGGCCCUCAUUGAGUGCUGUAUGCCAUAAAUUACGUCCCAGCUUUCACGAAGGUUCUUUAACAACUUUGACGGAGAUCUGAGAUGUGUGACUUCAAAAAUAAUUUUAUCUUUAACCAGUUCUAUAACUCUGGAAUUGUUAAUUGUUCCUAGGUAAAGCUCCUCCGAGCUGCUUAAGUGCUUAAUAGAAAACAGCCUUGUGUGAACUGAAACUAGUAAGCGUGCUUGCUUAGUGGGGUGGAGUUGUUGGUGCUGACCCCCCGACCUUCCCCUUUCUGGAUGAGCCCUGUACAGCAGUCUAGAAGAAUGAGAGGUCUAAUUAGUGUUAUCCUGGAUUGUGGGACCUUGAAUUCUUCAUUAGAUUUUUAGUCAAGCUGUUCAGUGGCCUUGUAAUUUUGAAUUUAUGUUCUCUUAGACACAAUUCAGACAUUGUCAUAUUGACCUGCCCCUUCCCCCUUUUUAAGAUUUACUUGUUUAUGUAUAUGAGAACACCAUGACUGUCUUAAGACACAUUUCUGGACAUUGGAUCCCAUUACAGAUGGUUGUGAGCCACCAUGUGGUUGUUGAGGAUUGAACUCAGGACCUCUGGAAGAGCAGUCAGUGUUCCUAACCUCUGAGCCAUCUCUGCAGCCCAACCUGACCUUUUAAUUGGACACACAGACUGUGGCCCCUGCACUGGGAAUAGCCUGUCUCCUUUGCUCUGUUAAGAGCCCCAGUCCUGACACAUGAGAUUGUGUGGUGCUUUCAUGAAGUGGCAGGUUUGCAGAGUAGUCCUGAACUGAAUCUAGAGGAAGGAACUCUUGACACUUUCUCCCACAACACUCUGUUAGCUUGCCCUAACCCAUGGAAGUUAGCCAGCAGGAAGGGAGCCAUCCCUCUAGAGGUGGUAGCUAGUGCAGUGUGUGGAGUAGAACUUUGGCCAUUUGUUUAAAUGUUCAGAGGUGAUUAUCACUAGACAGGAAACUGAAUUCAGGGUGUGGUUGGCUGGAGACAGGGUCUCACUGUGUAAGUGAUCCAGGCUGGCUUACCCAGCCAGUCCUUCACCCCGCUGGAGAAGCAGUGUGGUCAAUAGGCCACACACUGAAGCAAACAAACUGGGCCACUCACUUCUGAUGCCCUAAAGCAAGCUACUAUCUCUGGGCCUUUCUACCUCAGCAGGAGGGAGUCAUGGUGACAGCCUUUUCAGGUUGCCAUAGUAAUUUAACUGAAAAGUACUUUAAGCAGUACUUGUCACAAAGUGAAAGUGUCACAAGUACUUGUUAAGCAGGGCUUGCUGGGCAAAGAAGAAAGCCCCCAACAAAAGUGAGAGCAGAGGAAGCGAACCAGUAAGCAGCAUCCUUCCAUGGCCUCUGCAUCAGCUCCUGCCUCUGUGUUCCUGCCCUGUGUGAGUUUCUGUCCUGACUUCUUCAGUGACCAACAGUGAUGUCAAGUGUAAGCUAAGAACACCCCCAGGUUGCUUUUAGUCAUGGUGUUUUAUCACAGCAAUAGUGGCAUUCUCCAGAUCACCAUUCUCUGUGUUUAAAGUUGUAGUCUUAUGUGUGUGCACUUGGGAGAGAUUAUAUGUAUUAGUUGUCCUUGGAGGUCAGGAGAAAGCAUUGGAUCCCCUGAAGUGGAGCCCAGAAGGUUGUGGGCUUCGGGCUCAGUGCUGAGAACUAGACCUAUGUCCUCUACAAGCACUGACUCACUGCUUCAACCCCCACUCUGUUUCUAAGAGUCUGCAUCCACUGUGGAGGAUGAGCCACAGUGGGCUACUGUGGGAAAUUUUACGUUACAUGUUGUUUUGUGUGUGCAUGAAUGUGUUGGGCACACAUGUGCCAGGGCUUGUGUGUGGAGGCCAGAGCAUCUCAGUUCUCUCCUUCCAACAUCUGAGUCCCAAGGAUUGAACUCAGUCAUCGGGCCUGGUGGCGAGUGCCUUUGCUGGGCUGUCUUGCCAGCCCUUGUGUGUUUUCAGGGUAUGCUCUCCAUCCACUGGGAUGCUCUCACUAAAACCUGCCCAGUUAUGAAGUGCACAGGACUCUGGAAGUAGGCUACAGUUUGCUUCCUUCCUCUAGCAGCUUUUUGAACAUGAGUUUCAAUGUUUGCUGUUAGCACAAGAGAAAGGAUAUAUGGUGUCUUGGUGUCUAGUUAGGCUCUUGGGUGUGAAUAGUAGUUACUCUUUUUUUUUUUUUUCAAAGUGAAAUAAAUUUGACUUUUUGAAGUUUGCAUGUUUUCUUGGGAAGUAUGAUUUUCUAAAAUUUUUUGUUUAUUUUUAAGAUAGUCUUGCUAUGUAUUCCCCAUGGGCUUUGACCUUACUGUGUAAGAACAUCAUAGUGGAACUUCUGGUGAUCCUCCUGCCUCACACUCCCAAGUACACACCUCAGACUCAUGUCUCAGUAUCCUUGGAAGACUAUACACAAGCAUGUAGCAGCAGAGACAGGUGACAUGCUGUCACCUGACACUGAACAGUGUGGUUGUUGCCCUGUAGUUGUUGGCUUUGGAAUGAGCAAAGGUACCUGGCUUUGUUCAUUUGUAAUCUGUAAUGAUAGUUGUCAGAGAACUGUGCCACCCCACCUCCCCACCCCUGCUGCCUUUUUUCUGGAGACUCGGUCUCACUGUGUGGUUGUAGCUGGCCAAGAGCUCACUAUAAGUAAACAAGGCUGGCCUCAAAGUCACUGAGACCUGCCUUCCUCUGAGUGCUGGGAAUAAAGGUGUGUACCGCCACGGCCGGCUAAAAAUACUGCUGCUGUAACUUGUUGCUGAGCACCUUGACUAGGACAGUGGGAUUGUUCAUUAGUUUAUAAAUAAGUCUCCUCUGUACUGCCAGGUUGGUAGACUGCUGAUCCUCUUGCCUCAGCCUCUCCAGUGUUAGGGUUACAGAUGUCAGCUUUUUUAGAUGUAUUUAACAAGCCAGAAAGGAAAUCCCCUGAAAAGAUCAUUAUUUACUAGAAAAUCUUUAGAACUUCCAUGUCUUUGAACCUCCACAAAUAGGGCAGCCUUCACAUGUAUGGGUUGAGAAGGUGACCAACAUUGCUCAGUCAUAUGCCAGUGGAAUCCAAGCCCUGUGUCUGAGCUCAUGACUCUGCCACACGACUGGUCUGAGAAGUAAAAACAGACUAACUGUUUAGGACCACAGUGAGAACACUCAUUGCAGGCUGAUGCUUGCCUUGAGGUAUACCUUUCAGGCCCCAUCACAUCUUACAGAUGGCAGCACUCGGGAGCUGUGGGUAAGAUUGUCAUGUUGAUGGAAUGGCCAUGAAGGUGGCAGUUUCCUAUGGAAUUAAGAGUCAAGCACUUUCAGGUUUGGGGGAUCAGGAGUAGGACACAGCCUGCAAUAGACGAUGCAGAAAACAGAUAGCAGUUAUAUGAUUCAUAUUCUCUCUCUCUCUCUCUCUCUCUCUCUCUCUCUCUCUCUCUCUCUCUCUCUCUCUCUCUCUC